UUUUGCUUAUUGUUUUUCUUUAACACUUUAUUGACACUUGACACAACAUUCAAAAUAGAUAUAUUCUAUUCAAACAGUUCAUGAAAAAAAUUAUUGCUUUGUUCCGACAGUUGGAUUGGCUGGAUUUGAACAGGACGUUCUAUACGAGAAGGGAUUACGUUGGUUUUAUUCAGUUAUUUUGGGGAUGAUUGACGUAUUAUCAGUGUACCGUAUGUCAAGAAGCAUCCUAUGGUGAUACAGCAUUCGUUCUCCGCAAGAAUAUUUCUCUCCACAUAUCUGUUGUAAAAGAGUGAAAGACAAAUAAUAUUUUAAAGAACAUAUAAAGUUUUUUUUGAAAGCUGAAACAAGCCAAUAUUGUGAAUAAUCUUUUGUAUAACAUCUCUAACUAAAGCAAUAUCGUUAAAAUGGAUAAAGUUCAAGAACUUUCUGAAGCACUGCCUUUACCAAGUCAGCCAUUCUUAAACGUCGAAGUAAAUGAAUGCAAAGAAAGAUUGACGUCACUGGUCAUAUGUUGUGCUUCAACAGACUCACUUCUUCAAAUACCACUGUGCUGUCAAAACGUGAACAAAACCAUUUAUUCAAUUUGAUAAUAAGCAUUAACAUCUUAAUAGUAUUUACCACUUUAUUUUAGCACUAUCCCAGAGUAUAGAAUUAUAAAGCUUGUCAAAGACUUUCUUAUCAACAUGAAAACAAUUCAUGGCGA